AUUGAACGCUGGCGGCAGGCCUAACACAUGCAAGUCGAACGGUAGAGGGGGCAACCCCUUGAGAGUGGCGAACGGGUGAGUAAUAUAUCGGAACGUGCCCAGUCGUGGGGAUAACGUAGCGAAAGCUACGCUAAUACCGCAUACGAUCUAUGGAUGAAAGCGGGGGAUCGCAAGACCUCGCGCGAUUGGAGCGGCCGAUAUCAGAUUAGGUAGUUGGUGAGGUAAAGGCUCACCAAGCCGACGAUCUGUAGCUGGUCUGAGAGGACGACCAGCCACACUGGGACUGAGACACGGUCCAGACUCCUACGGGAGGCAGCAGUGGGAAUAUUGGACAAUGGGCGAAAGCCUGAUCCAGCCAUGCCGCGUGUGUGAAGAAGGUCUUCGGAUUGUAAAGCACUUAAGUUGGAGGAAGGUUGUAGAUUAAUACUCUGCAAUUUUGACGUUACCGACAGAAUAAGCACCGGCUAACUCUGUGCCAGCAGCC
rnacentral:rRNA from 1 species